rnacentral:rRNA from 1 species
GAUCCUGGCUCAGGACGAACGCUGGCGGCGUGCUUAAUACAUGCAAGUCGAACGAAGCUGCUUGACGGAAUCCUUCGGGAGGAAGGCGAGUAGACUUAGUGGCGGACGGGUGAGUAACGCGUGAGCAAUCUGCCCAUAAGAGGGGGACAACAGUUGGAAACGACUGCUAAUACCGCAUAAGACCACAUUACCGCAUGGUAGAGGGGUCAAAGAGAUAUCGCUUAUGG